rnacentral:tRNA from 3 species
UUUGCUAAACAGGAAUUGAACCAUGUAUAAAUCACUUAAGGAUGAUUGUCUUAACCAUUAGACUAUUAGCAA